AUUGAACGCUGGCGGCAGGCCUAACACAUGCAAGUCGAGCGGUAGAGAGGUGCUUGCACCUCUUGAGAGCGGCGGACGGGUGAGUAAUGCCUAGGAAUCUGCCUGGUAGUGGGGGAUAACGUCCGGAAACGGACGCUAAUACCGCAUACGUCCUACGGGAGAAAGCAGGGGACCUUCGGGCCUUGCGCUAUCAGAUGAGCCUAGGUCGGAUUAGCUAGUUGGUGAGGUAAUGGCUCACCAAGGCGACGAUCCGUAACUGGUCUGAGAGGAUGGUCAGUCAGACUGGAACUGAGACACGAUCCAGACUCCUACGGGAGGCAGCAGUGGGGAAUAUUGGACAAUGGGCGAAAGCCUGAUCCAGCCAUGCCGCGUGUGUGAAGAAGGUCUUCGGAUUGUAAAGCACUUUAAGUUGGGAGGAAGGGUUGUAGAUUAAUACUCUGCAAUUUUGACGUUACCGACGGAAUAAGCACCGGCUAACUCUGUGCCAGCCGCCGCAGUAAGAC
rnacentral:rRNA from 1 species